UACGGGGGGGGCAAGCGUUGUUCGGAAUUACUGGGCGUAAAGGGCUCGUAGGCGGCCAACUAAGUCAGACGUGAAAUCCCCAGGCUCAACCUGGGAACUGCGUCUGAUACUGGUUGGCUUGAAUCCGGGAGAGGGAUGCAGAAUUCCAGGUGUAGCGGUGAAAUGCGUAGAUAUCGGGAGGAACACCAGUGGCGAAGGCGACUACCUGGCCUGUUCUUGACGCUGAGGCGCGAAAGCUAGGGGAGCAAACGGG
rnacentral:rRNA from 1 species